AUUGAACGCUGGCGGCAGGCCUAACACAUGCAAGUCGAACGGUAACAGGAAGCAGCUUGCUGCUUCGCUGACGAGUGGCGGACGGGUGAGUAAUGUCUGGGAAGCUGCCUGAUGGAGGGGGAUAACUACUGGAAACGGUAGCUAAUACCGCAUAAUGUCGCAAGACCAAAGAGGGGGACCUUCGGGCCUCUUGCCAUCGGAUGUGCCCAGAUGGGAUUAGCUUGUUGGUGGGGUAACGGCUCACCAAGGCGAUGAUCCCUAGCUGGUCUGAGAGGAUGACCAGCCACACUGGAACUGAGACACGGUCCAGACUCCUACGGGAGGCAGCAGUGGGGAAUAUUGCACAAUGGGCGCAAGCCUGAUGCAGCCAUGCCGCGUGUAUGAAGAAGGCCUUCGGGUUGUAAAGUACUUUCAGCGGGGAGGAAGGGAGUAAAGUUAAUACCUUUGCUCAUUGACGUUACCCGCAGAAGAAGCACCGGCUAACUCCGUG
rnacentral:rRNA from 1 species